GGUGGAGUGGGAAUUGGCUGGCGGAGCAGAGCAUCUCCUGGGAUAAAUGCUGUGCUGAAUGGACCAGCCAUGGUGCUGUCAGAGACUUCUGCUUUGUCUCUGCUGGGUUUGUUUUGGAUUUUUGUUUUUUUGUUUUUUUUUUUCUGGCUUUUUUUCCUAAUGGACAGGUGAAUUCCGCUUCUAUUGUUAACACUAAUACAGAAUCAGAUAACUUAAACUCAAAGCCAGGGCAAAUCUGACUGCAUUUAGAAGUUUCUGGAGAUUGCUAAAGGCAGUACCAUUGGGCUUGGCACACGCCACCCAAGUGCAUCAGAUGGCCAUCCUCCAAGCCAAAGCCAGCUCAUGGGAGGGCAGACAUCUCUCUGGGGAGAAAUUCAACCUGGAGAGAACUCUGUUUUCUAUCUUCAUACACUAGCCACUGCACCUUGGCUAAGCACUUCCCCAGCAGCUCCUUCUGGAAUUGGCUUUUCAUCGUAUGAAGAGGAGCCGAAGGUCAAAGAGGUCAAGCCCACUUACCCUGUGACUCUCUGGAGCCCGGAAGCCUGGAACCAGCUGCAAACACACUCAUACUUGGGAGGAACACAUUCAGAGGCUUCCUUCAGCACCUCAGGGUACUGGCUUGACAUCUUUCACAUGAAAACUCCAUAGAGACUAAAUACUUCAGUGUUUUCCUGACACCCAUUAAGAAUAAGGAGUCUGGUCAUGGUAUAUGUCCUAACAGCUUGAUGACUAGGACCCAGCUCUCCUUGGAAAGGAGAAAUAACCACUUCUGAGCCAUUUCUAUGAGAAAGGAAGCCACCAAGCCCACAGAGGAGAAACAACAAAAUAAAAGAGAGAAUGGGGAAAACCUGCA